rnacentral:rRNA from 1 species
AUUGAACGCUGGCGGCAGGCCUAACACAUGCAAGUCGAGCGAGCGGCGGACGGGUGAGUAAUGAAUGGGGACUGCUCGACAGAGGGGGAUAACUACUGGAAACGGUAGCCAAUACCGCAUACUAUCGGAUAACCCACAUUGGAUUAGCUAGUAGGUGAGGUAAUGGCUCACCUAGGCGACGAUCCCUAGCGGGUCUGAGAGGAUGAUCAGCCACACGGGGACUGAGACACGGCCCAGACUCCUACGGAGGCAGCAGUGGGGAAUAUUGCACAAUGGGCGAAAGCCUGAUACAGCCAUGCCGCGUGUAUGAAGAAGGCCCUAGGGUUGUAAAGUACUUUCAGUCGGGAGGCGUUACCGACAGAAGAAGCACCGGCUAACUCCGUGCCAGUCGCCGCGGUAAUAC